rnacentral:rRNA from 1 species
GUCCUGGCUGUAACGGUGCGCGUUGGUGUGAGAAGGUUCGACCCUUUGCGCCGGAGCUAACGCGUUAAACGCGCCGCCUGGGAAGUACGGUCGCAAGACUAAACUCAAGAAUUGACGGGCCCGCACAAGCGGUGGAGUAUGUGGCUUAAUUCGAUGCAACGCGAAACCUUACCUGGACUUGACAUGCAUUGCUAAGGAAUGAAAUUUCCGAUGAUAGCAAUAUCAACCUUGCACAGGUGCUGCAUGGCUGUCGU